GGAUUGUAGCGCAGUGGUAGAGCGCUUGCCUAACACAUACGAAACCCUGGGUUUGAUCCUCAGCACCA
rnacentral:tRNA from 1 species